rnacentral:lncRNA from 1 species
AAACACUUACAGCAACAGAAGAGUGAUAUUCGGUUGAACCGCAGACAAUAAGGGGAAAUAGCUUCUCGAUCAAAAAGAAAAUAAAAAGAGGUAGAAAUCACAAAUAGAAAGAGAAGGAUAUUGGUCAAAGAAAAAGAAGAAAAAAGAAAGGAGAUUCGGCCAGCAGAGAAAAGAAGAAGGAAAGAGAGAGAAUGGAGGAUUCGACAACUAGAGGAGAGGGGAAGAGGAAAGAAAAGAGCAGAAAAAGUAAGCGAACAAACCCGAG